AUUGAACGCUGGCGGCAUGCCUUACACAUGCAAGUCGAACGGCAGCACGGGUGCUUGCACCUGGUGGCGAGUGGCGAACGGGUGAGUAAUACAUCGGAACGUACCUUAUCGUGGGGGAUAACGCAGCGAAAGCUGUGCUAAUACUGCAUACGCCCUGAGGGGGAAAGCGGGGGAUCGAAAGACCACGCGCGAUUAGAGCGGCCGAUGACUGAUUAGCUUGUUGGUGGGGUAAAAGCCCACCAAGUCGACGCUCAGUAGCUGGUCCGAGAGGACGAUCAGCCACACUGGGACUGAGACACGGCCCAGACUCCUACGGGAGGCAGCAGUGGGGAAUUUUGGACAAUGGGGGCAACCCUGAUCCAGCAAUGCCGCGUGAGUGAAGAAGGCCUUCGGGUUGUAAAGCUCUUUUGUCAGGGAAGAAACACCGGCUCUAACACAGUCCGGGAAUGACGGUACCUGAAGAAUAAGCACCGGCUAACUACGUGCCAGCCGCCGCGGUAA
rnacentral:rRNA from 1 species